CGGGUUUACGAGGUCUACCAGGACCUGUCGGGAAACCAGGACCUUCAGGUCGGUCAGGACCUCCUGGAGAGAAGGGAGUCCAGGGGUCUCAGGGUCGACCUGGAGAUGAAGGACUCAGAGGAUUUCAAGGCCCAGAAGGGCCUCCAGGUGUUCCAGGUGUUGAUGGGGCAAAUGGAAAACCUGGACCCAGGGGAAGCCAGGGGCCCCUAGGUCCUCAGGGGCCACAUGGCACAGCAGGAAUCCCAGGGCCAAAGGGGCCUGAUGGGUUGUUAGGAGCAGCAGGGCAAAGAGGAAACAAGGGUUUACCUGGUUUACCUGGUGAUCCUGGACCCACGGGACAAGAUGGAGAACAGGGUCUCCUUGGACAGAGAGGAAUCGAGGGACCUCCAGGACGGAAAGGAGAUCAGGGCGACUCUGGGCCUUCUGGGACACCUGGUCCUCCGAGUCCUCCAGGAGAGAGAGGACUCGAGGGCCCCAAAGGCCUCCAGGGACCUGCUGGACCCGUGGGUAAAGAGG